GGAGUGACAUCUUCCAUCCCACACUUCACUCCCCAAAUGGCCCCAGGGGCCGGAGCCGAGCUGAUCAAAGCCAGGAGCUUCUUCCGGGCCUCCCACGUGAGCGCAGGGUCACAAGGCCUUGGGCCAUUCUCCACUGCUUUCCAAGGCACAGGCAGGUAACUAGAUUGCAAGUGGAGCGUCCAGGACUCAAACCAGCACCCUUACAGGAUGGCAGUCCUGCAGGCAGAAGAUCGGCAUGCCGCGUCACCACACUGGCCCUGGCUAUCGUGGAGGAGCCGCUGAUGGGGGAAGAGGAGCCAGCAUCCUGUCAGACUGCCCAGCAGGAAGGCCUGGAGGCUGCGCAGACCCUGGAACCACAAGCUACCGGCCACACCUCGGAGGAUUCGGCUGUGACGCUCAGGGUCCUGCUGGCCUACAGGUGCUGGAGGCUGUGGAUCAGCGUCCUGGCCUGUUGCUGAAAGAUGGAGAGACUGCAAGCAACACGGCCUCUGUCCACGAGGGGCCUGGCUCACGAUGCCCUGGGCCCUUGGGUGCGUGGAAGGCGAGGGAAAGGUUUCUCCACUCUGUAGGUCCAGGUUUUGGCAGAGGCCAGGAUGGGGCCUUUUCAUGGCUGGAGGGAAGCA